UACGGGGGGGGCAAGCGUUGUUCGGAAUUACUGGGCGUAAAGGGUGCGUAGGUGGUUUUGUAAGUCAGUGGUGAAAGCCCGGAGCUCAACUCCGGAACUGCCAUUGAUACUGCUUAACUUGAAUCAAGUAGAGGUGGAUGGAAUAUUACAUGUAGCGGUGAAAUGCUUAGAUAUGUAAUAGAACACCGAUUGCGAAGGCAGUUCACUAUGCUUGUAUUGACACUGAGGCACGAAAGCGUGGGGAUCAAACAGG
rnacentral:rRNA from 1 species